UUGCCAGACUCCUACGGGAGGCAGCAGUGGGGAAUAUUGCGCAAUGGGCGAAAGCCUGACGCAGCGACGCCGCGUGAGGGAUGAAGGUCUUCGGAUCGUAAACCUCUGUCAGCAGGGAAGAACGGUCACUGUGCUAAUCAGCAGUGAAUUGACGGUACCUGCAAAGGAAGCACCGGCUAACUCCGUGCCAGCAGCCGCGGUAAUACGGAGGAUGCGAGCGUUAUCCGGAUUUAUUGAGUUUAAAGGGUGCGCAGGCGGAGGUGCAAGUCAGUGGUCAAAUUGCGGGGCUCAACCCCGUACUGCCGUUGAAACUGCAUCCCUUGAGUGCGCGAGAAGUAUGCGGAAUGCGUGGUGUAGCGGUGAAAUGCAUAGAUAUCACGCAGAACUCCGAUUGCGAAGGCAGCAUACCGGCGCUCAACUGACGCUCAUGCACGAAAGCGUGGGUAUCGAACAGGAUUAGAUACCCCUGUAC
rnacentral:rRNA from 1 species